AAUAGUGUACAUGUGUAAUAUAUUGGUAGAUAUGUAUAUUUUAUAAUAUCGAUAAAUUAUGUAUGUAUGUAUGUAUGUAUGUAUGUAUUUAUGUACAUACGUAUGUAUGAUAGUGUGUAAAUAUUUGAUGUAACUUUUGUUCAAUAUAUAGAUAUUAAACGGGUUAUUGGGUAACCCGGUUAUUUUUCCGUGUCGGGUUUGGGUCUCAAUAUUUUGACACGAUUAUUAAAUGGGUCGGGUUUGGGUCGACCUAAAUUUGACACGACACGAAGCUGACACGACACGAACACGACCCGAUGACCCGUUUUGCCAGCUCUA
rnacentral:lncRNA from 1 species